GACGAACGCUGGCGGCGUGCUUAACACAUGCAAGUCGAACGGAAAGGCCCUGCUUUUGUGGGGUGCUCGAGUGGCGAACGGGUGAGUAACACGUGAGUAACCUGCCCUUGACUUUGGGAUAACUUCAGGAGACUGGGGCUAAUACCGGAUAGGAGCUCCUGCUGCAUGGUGGGGGUUGGAAAGUUUCGGCGGUUGGGGAUGGACUCGCGGCUUAUCAGCUUGUUGGUGGGGUAGUGGCUUACCAAGGCUUUGACGGGUAGCCGGCCUGAGAGGGUGACCGGCCACAUUGGGACUGGGGUACCGGCCAGACUCCUACGGGAGGCAGGAGUGGGGAAUAUUGCACCAUGGGCGGAAGGCUGAUGCAGCAACGCCGCGGGCGGGAUGACGGCCUUCGGGGUGUAAACCGCUUUCGCCUGUGACGGAGCGUGGGUGACGGUAAUGGGUAAAGAAGCACCGGCUAACUACGGU
rnacentral:rRNA from 1 species